ACUGAAAAACAGGGGACAGGUCCCGUCAACGGGGUAAAAGGGAAGUCCGGAAGGCAGCUGAUUUUUGCCGUGCCGGCGCGGUCCCGCCACUGUGACCGGGGAGGAAACCGCCACAAGCCACUGGGCAAGGCCCGGGAAGGCGCGGCAAUCCAAUGAACCGGGAGCCAGGAAACCUGCCUGUUCCGUCGUCCCGCC
rnacentral:ncRNA from 2 species